rnacentral:rRNA from 1 species
GCGUAAGCGUGCGCAGGCGGUUUUGUAAGACGGAGGUGAAAUCCCCGGGCUCAACCUGGGAACUGCCUUUGUGACUGCAUGGCUAGAGUACGGUAGAGGGGGAUGGAAUUCCGCGUGUAGCGGUGAAAUGCGUAGAUAUGCGGAGGAACACCGAUGGCGAAGGCAAUCCCCUGGACCGGUACUGACGCUCAUGCGCGAAAGCGUGGGGAGCAAACAGGAUUAGAUACCCUGGUAGUCCACGCCCUAAACGAUGUCAACUGGCCGUUGGGAAUUUUGUUACCCAAUAGCGAAACUAACCCCUGAAGUUGACCCCCUGGGGAAGACGGGCGCAAGGGUGAAACUCAAAGGAAAUGAAGGGG